GACUAGUCUGAGUACAGUGAGAUUUACCACUAUUUGGUUAUAACCAGUUACAUAUUUUUGGGUCCUUCUCCAUUCCCACUGUUGCUUCACUUGACUAGCCUUCU
rnacentral:Y_RNA from 1 species